UACGUAGGGGGCGAGCGUUGUCCGGAUUCAUUGGGCGUAAAGAGCUCGUAGGCGGCUUGGCAAGUCGGGUGUGAAAACUUCAGGCUCAACCUGGAGCGGCCACUCGAUACUGCCAUGGCUAGAGUCCGGUAGGGGACCACGGAAUUCCUGGUGUAGCGGUGAAAUGCGCAGAUAUCAGGAGGAACACCGGUGGCGAAGGCGGUUCUCUGGGCCUUACCUGACGCUGAGGAGCGAAAGCGUGGGGAGCAAACAGG
rnacentral:rRNA from 1 species